UUAAGGGGGAGUUAGAGUAUGUAUACGAUGUGGGUCUCCAGCAUGGUUACAUGAAAGGCUUUAUAAAGGACAUCCAAGCAAGGGUAAGCCAAGCACUAACUCAAAAUGUAUCCAAAGUACCUAUCCCAAAUGUAAAAGAUGCAGCUAAGUAGUAGUUUGUUCCUCUCUUAUACCCUCUGGCAAAACUUAACUCUGGUAAAGAAUGUUCUAAAAAGAGCAAAGAAAAAACUGGCUUACUACAGAACACCAACAAUAUUCAACAGGCUCAGAAAUGAGAAAAAAAGGAGCAAUUGGCAAAAAUCAGAAAUAUACAAAAUUCCAGCCAAAAUAGUGGAUUCCCAGCAGAACAUGGCAUACAUAGGAGUGACUACAAGGACAUUGUAACAAAGAGCAGAAGAACACAAGAAGGACAUAGCUGCAGGAAACCUCAC
rnacentral:lncRNA from 1 species